rnacentral:lncRNA from 1 species
AAGGGCCUGAACUGUCACUGGCAGUAAUAAGGGAGGAAGAGACUCAAGGGGCAGGAGAUGCCAGUGUUUUAGUUUCAUGACCAGCAUAGUAGCCGUCCAGCAGCAAUGACAGAGGGCCACGUCCUCGGCCCUGCCCCUCCUCGCUCUGCCCUGCCUGCACCCCCUGCGGCUUCCUUUCUUCCUCCCUCCCCUGGCAGGAAAGCCAGGGCUCCGGCCUUGGCGCUUGUUCUAUAGCACAGUCACCUCCAGAAAGGACAGUGAGGUCUCUGAGCCUUUGACCUCCUCUCCUAGAGGCCACCCUCAGGUCUCGUCCCAGAAGACUGGGUCUCUCCUUCCUCGCAGACGUGCAGCAGCACCGGGCAUACUCUCCUGUGACAGUGCUGUGACCGAGUGUGCUCGUUCUAUUUUCUCUUCCGGGUGAGGACCUGCGAAGUGUCGGGGACACCCUUCGACACUGCAAAGUCGUACACACAGGGGGAUCCCAUCUGCACAUUUUAAAUGUUGUCUGAGGCAAUCCUGGAUUUGGAAGUCAGGUUUUUAUGGUAGUUAUUUAACCAAAUCCUACAUUCCAGCUAAAAAAGGAAGCCCAGAGAGAUGGCCAGUGGACGCUGAAAGCGUUCUUCAUGCUCCUCAGAGAGGCGCCGACACUGGGACUGUGUCCACUCUUGGCUGACCAGAGGCGACAAAGGUGGCGGUCUUGCCUCUUCACUGGCACAGUCCAGAGGCUGUGCAGAGGCCAGCUUCCAAGUGUCAAAGCCUGGUGAAGCUGAAAAGAGAAAAACCACUUAUGGGGAAAAAAUUCCUCUCACUGAACUUGUAAAUUUAAGCCCUCAACUAUCGCAAACUUUACAAACUCAUGCAUCACAUUUUGAUCCCAAUCCUAAGAUUAUCAUAUAUAAACAGUGUAGUUCAGACAGAGGUACAGGCUACACACAGAAGGCGCCCCUGGCUGUGUGUUUCCACAGGUGCAGUUCUGGGUAAUGUGUACAUUCAGAAACUCCAAAAGGCAA